CCUCAUUUAAGGGCUGACCACCACUAAGGCAGCAUCUCUUGGAGAUUGCUCCUUGGUGGAGAUUGUCUUAGCGGUUCCAGCAGACCAAAGACUUCCAUACAGGCUUGCUUUCCAAGGUACUUCUUGUGAUAAGUUUCUGACUUAUCUGGGAGAUGAGAGGUGGGUGUUGCCAUGUGACAGCUGGCAAGGCCCAGAAGAUAGGAACAAAGGACUUUCUACUGAAAUCUCAAAGCCAGAAGAUGCCACUCCAAAGAGAGAUAACUCAACCACUUUGGAUUUGAGCUGUCACUCCAAAGAGAGCUUACUUGACCGGUCGACCACCUUGGACAGUUGCCGUUGUCAAUCGUCAGCUGAACAACCUCCAAUGACACAUCAGUACUAAAGAUCAAUAUCUGGACUACGAGCAGUGAUGGAAUCUGUGGUGGUGAAUGUCUCUCUCUUGCUUCCUACAAAUACUCCUUGUGUUUAUUUCCUAUCUUUUCUAUCACCUGUCUUCCCUUCCCAUCUCCUUAAACGACUGGGAUUUGUAAUAAACUGGUCAGGCUAACAUUUGACCCAUUGUGUAUUAAGCUUGCCGUUGGGUAUUCACUUAUACAAAGAACCCCCUCUCUUUCCUAUAAAUUGAAGCACGAGAAUACUGCAAAUACUUGAGCUUUUGCAUAAUUUAGGAAGUAGGGGUUUUUGCCUUUCACCUUACAUCUCAGUUCUGCAAUUGCAAAUUGACUUCCGGAGCUGCAAGAUGAAUCUGAUAUUCUCAUUGUUGUAGUAGGCUUGAAAUAGAUUCAAGAUUUAGGAAUUAGAAGUCUAGUGGCUGAGUUUUGAUAUUAUAGCUUCAGAACAACUAUAUAAUAUGGGCACUAUAUACUUCUUUUACUGUCUGUGGUUUCUGGGCUUUCCUACACUGCUGUUUUCUUCCACUGUCAACAGUAAUUACUUCUGUACAUGGAGUGAACACUUAUAUUUUUUUCUGUAUGUAGGAUUUACAGACAUUCAGAGAAUUGUGCUAAAUUCAGCAAAUAUUCUAGCUGUUGUAGUCCUGGAUUCUGGAUUCCAUGCCAAUAUUGAGAUGAAAAGCUGCUAAAUCUGGUUUGUCCUCUGAUCUUGAUUUUACAAUAUCUUAUGUUAUUACUGAUGCACCUCAGCCACAGAGUGUAAACUGAGAAUAAUCACAGAGCUAAGAUUUUCAGGCUGGAAUUUCAUUACAUGAGCUCUACAGUCUUCAUUAAAAGAUAUUUAGGUUAGAAAACAAUACAUAUUUGUUUUUUAAAAUUAGUUCUGGAAGUU